AAACCCGAGAAAUCCAGGAACUGAAAACUUUUAAAAAAUGUAGUAAAAAAGGCGGUGUUCAGGACAUCAACCUAGAGUAAGAAUCUCUCACACAUUUUUCCUGUUCGGUAAAAUUGAAGCUAAACUAAUAAAUAAAUAAAAAAUUUAGUUAAUCUGCGGUCUUCUAAUUGAUUAAAGUAUAGAUUAUCAAUGGAGCAAGUAACUAGUCAGUUUGCGUCCGUUUGAGUUUUUAAUUGCAAUAAAUAUCCCUACAGUUGUUAUUAUGCUAUUUUGUU
rnacentral:lncRNA from 1 species